CCAGGACGCUGGCACAGGGAAGGAGCCUAGGCAUCGGGCUGAAGGCCAGACAGAAGAAUCAGGGCUCAUCAGCACAUCUGUGGAAUGUUUAUUUCUGUGUUUCCAGCUCAGGACUAGAUGGCUGGAAACUACAUAUUGACUCAUUAUCUUCAGAGCCAUGAAUGAGAUGUGGUCCCUGCUCUCAAAGUAUUUACUGCCCCUCUGGAAAGCAGGACAUGGGUGUAGGAAAGGAGAAGGUGCACAGGAUAAGAUGUCGUAUGAGUUGGACUUCUGGAGCCUGGGUAUGGGAUGAUCUCUCUGAUCCCUGUGAACAUCAUCAGGUCUGCUUGGCUGUGGCACCUGCUGGAGCCAGAAGGGUAGCCCCAGCCUUAGCAUCACUCUAGCGGCUCUGAGUGUUUGUAGAUCCUGCCAUGGCUAGGAUCUUGUUCCAGCCCUGUUUCUGGGACUCCUCUACUACCACAGCCUGCUGGCCCACAGACCUCCUUCUCCUCUGCAUCCCGGUGGUCCUGACUCAGACCUUCUACAUUGUCACUUAGCAUUCACAACUCGCCAUUGAUCAAUGUCCCCCUUGGGAUCCUGUCUCACCAGGAGAACAAGUUGUACCAGCCUGUGCCCUUGGAUGCCAUUCCAGGCAGCAAUUCUGAAGACAGCUCUGGGGCUCCUCAGGUCUCUCUGCAGUGCUCCUCCUUCCCCUCUGCCUCCACUGCCCCAUCUCACCAGCCCUCCCCACCAACAUUUCCUCCAAGCCUCAACAAGUCACCCAAGAGUAUUCUAAGGUCCCUGCUGGUCUAUCUGACAAUAUGCAGAUAGGCCUUGGUUGCCUUGGCUGGCUGUGACCUUGCUGACAUCUAUAGACAGAGAGGUGGGAAUGAAAGACACAUUACUCCUGGAUGUUGGUGGAGAAGGUGGUGGUUGCAGUUGCUACGCAAGAGUCACCAGGCUGCAGACUCUGUCCACUUCUGAGAGUGCAAUGUCCCCUGUGAUUGGCUGGGAUUUCUGAGCUUUUCAGCUUGCAUAUGGUGAGAAUGUUGGCACACCGCAGCCCUGAGGGCCUGGGCUUUGGACUCCGGCAGUCCCACAUGUGUGUGCUACCUCUGCCGCUCUCUGGUUGUAUGAAGUCAAGCAAUGUCUGUAACCUCACUGAGUCACAGCGCUCUGCUCUGUAGAAUGGAGAUGGGAUCCUCUCUACCUCCUGCAGUGUCUGUGAAUGCCAUAACACAAGCCAGAGUGCUGAGCACCGUGCCCACCCUAGAAGAGGGCUCGGUGUAUAGUAGCAGCUCUUAAUGCUCCCAGGAUGCCUAAUAAAUUCUUUCAGAAAAGUA
rnacentral:lncRNA from 1 species